rnacentral:rRNA from 1 species
AUGUGGCAGGAGGCCUAACACAUGCAAGUCGAGCGCGCCCUUCGGGGUGAGCGGCGGACGGGUUAGUAACGCGUGGGAACGUACCCAGAUCUACGGAAUAGCCUUUGGAAACGAAGAGUAAUACCGUAUACGCCCUUCGGGGGAAAGAUUUAUCGGAUUUGGAUCGGCCCGCGUUAGAUUAGAUAGUUGGUGGGGUAACGGCCUACCAAGUCUACGAUCUAUAGCUGGUUUUAGAGGAUGAUCAGCAACACUGGGACUGAGACACGGCCCAGACUCCUACGGGAGGCAGCAGUGGGGAAUCUUGGACAAUGGGCGCAAGCCUGAUCCAGCCAUGCCGCGUGAGUGAUGAAGGCCCUAGGGUCGUGAAGCUCUUUCGCCAGGGAUGAUAAUGACAGUACCUGGUAAAGAAACCCCGGCUAACUCCGUGCCAGCAGCCGCGGUAAUACGGAGGGGGUUAGCGUUGUUCGGAAUUACUGGGCGUAAAGCGCGCGUAGGCGGGUUGUUAAGUUAGAGGUGAAAUCCCGGGGCUCAACCCCGGAACUGCCUUUAAUACUGGCAACCUAGAGUUCGAGAGAGGUGAGUGGAAUUCCGAGUGUAGAGGUGAAAUUCGUAGAUAUUCGGAGGAACACCAGUGGCGAAGGCGGCUCACUGGCUCGAUACUGACGCUGAGGUGCGAAAGUGUGGGGAGCAAACAGGAUUAGAUACCCUGGUAGUCCACACCGUAAACGAUGAAUGCCAGUCGUCGGGUAGCAUGCUAUUCGGUGACACACCUAACGGAUUAAGCAUUCCGCCUGGGGAGUACGGUUGCAAGAUUAAAACUCAAAUGAAUUGACGGAAGGGCGAA